GAUAUCAACUGAAAAAGUCAUCAACAACAAAGUUGAAUAACUCAUCAGGAUCUAAAACUUUUAUUUUUGGUCAUUUCUUCAUAUGACAAGGUGAUAGUAACAUUGUUCACAAAAUUGACAUAUCUCUUAUCUGGUUUUAUAAACUAUAACACAUAUAUGUAUAAUUUGUGAAUAAUAUUACUAACAUUUCGUCGGAUGAAGAAAUAACAAAAAUAAAAGUUUUAGAUCUCGAUGAGUUAUUCAAUUUUGUUGUUGAUGACUUUUUCAAUUGAAAUC
rfam:Oryza glumipatula chromosome 8, whole genome shotgun sequence.